UACCAGCUCCCUGAGUGGUAAGGACGAUUAUUUGGCCUAAAGCGUCCGUAGCCGGCUUAUCAAGUCUCUUGUUAAACCCAAUGAUUCAAUCAUUGAUCUGCAAGAGAUACUGUUAUGCUAGAGGACGGGAGAGGUCGACGGUAGUCCAGGGGUAGGGGUGAAAUCCUAUAAUCCUUGGAGGACCACCAGUGGCGAAGGCGGUCGACUAGAACGUGCCUGACGGUGAGGGACGAAAGCUGGGGGAGCGAACCGGAUUAGAUACCCGGGUAGUCCCAGCUGUAAACGAUGCGGGCUAGGUGUUGGGGUAGCUACGAGCUACUCCAGUGCCGCAGAGAAGUUGUUAAGCCCGCCGCCUGGGGAGUACGGCCGCAAGGCUGAAACUUAAAGGAAUUGGCGGGGAGCACCACAAGGGGUGAAGGCUGCGGUUU
rnacentral:rRNA from 1 species